rnacentral:rRNA from 1 species
UGGGGGAUAUUGCACAAUGGGCGAAAGCCUGAUGCAGCAACGCCGCGUGAGGGAAGACGGUUUUCGGAUUGUAAACCUCUGUCUUUGGUGAAGAAAAAAAUGACGGUAGCCAAGGAGGAAGCCACGGCUAACUACGUGCCAGCAGCCGCGGUAAUACGUAGGUGGCAAGCGUUGUCCGGAAUUACUGGGUGUAAAGGGAGCGCAGGCGGGACUGUAAGUUGGAUGUGAAAUACCAGGGCUCAACCCUGGGGCUGCAUCCAAAACUAUAGUUCUUGAGUGAAGUAGAGGUAGGCGGAAUUCCGAGUGUAGCGGUGAAAUGCGUAGAUAUUCGGAGGAACACCAGUGGCGAAGGCGGCCUACUGGGCUUUAACUGACGCUGAGGCUCGAAAGUGUGGGGAGCAAACA